AUGGAUGUCAUCUCCUGCACCAAAGGGAAAUAUGUUCUGCAGUUAACCUUGCAUGACAAGAAGAAGAAAACCGACUGGGGCUUGCUAGUGGUAUAUGGAGCAUCCCAUGAAGAGUCUAAGGAGGAAUUUUUGAUAGAGCUCGCUGCUAGCUAUAGUAGCAUGAAUAUUCCCUACAUUUUAGGGGGUGACUUCAAUAUCUUGCGACAUGGAGAUGAGAAAAAUAAGAAGAUGCAAAAUAAUAGAGCAACUAAUGUCUUUAAUUCCAUUAUCAAUGCUUUUGCCCUUAGAGAGAUUUACACUAGUGGGGGGAAAUACACCUGGACCAACAAUCAAGCCCAUCCUACCCUAGAAAAAUUAGAUCGCAUCCUAAUGUCUGAAGGGUGGGAGGACAUUUUUCCUGUGGUGUAUGUCAGAAAGUUGGUACGUGAAAUCUCAGACCACAACCCCUUGCUUCUCUCUGGAGUGGAAGAGGGGCGCGAAGGUCCUAAACCUCAUGAGAUUUGUUUCAAUUUACCCUGGAUUAAGGAUCAAUACUUUCUUCCUAUGAUCAGUAGGAUCUGGUCGAGGAAGGUUCACUCCUCUGACCCUAUUGACAUCCUAAAUAUCAAACUAAAAAGAUUCAAGAAUUAUUUCAAAGGGUGGGGGAAUAAAUAUGGUCAUGACAAGAGAAGGAAAGAAGAGCUCAGAUUAGAGCUAGCUAUGUUGGAGGAACUAGAAGAGAGUGGCCCCCUGUCCCGUAAGUUGUAUAGUAUCAAAAUUGAUGUAAGUGUGGAGCUGCAUGAACUCCUGGUAAAUGAGGAGAUUUUUUGGUUACAACAAUCCCAUGAAAGAUGGCUGCUGAAAGGUGAUCUUAAUAUAGACUACUAUCAUAAGAUUGCAAACGGGCGCAAGAGGAAGAACACAAUUCGUUCCCUUAAGGUUGGUGAUGUGGAGAUUGAAGGUACUGAUAACCUGAUUACACAUGCAACAGAUUUCUACAAAAACUUGUUUGGCCCCGCGCCUGGCAAACCUGAUACAUGGUCUACUUGUGAAAAACUUGAUGAAAAUGACAAUGCUGAUCUGUGCCGGGCUUUUACGGAGGCAGAAGUCAAAGAAGUGCUGUUUGCUAUGGAACAUAAUAGAGCCCCAGGUCUGGACAACAUUCCUACAGAUUUUUAUCAGGUGUGUUGGGAUAUUGUGAAAGAUGAUAUUAUGUCACUCUUUGAACAUUUUCAUAAAGGGGAUCUAGAUGUUCAGCGGCUUAAUUACGGUGUGAUUACCCUUCUCUUUAAGACCGCGGGGGCAAACAAGAUCCAACAAUUCCGACCCAUUUGCCUUUUGAGAUGUCCUUACAAGCUAAUCACAAAGGUGCUUGAUAGGUGUAGCGACCUGACCCGAAUGGAUCAAGUCUCUGUGCUUAAGUGUCAUCCCUGGAUCGGUAUGCUGACACACACAGUACUCGAGGAUUUAUAA
rnacentral:rRNA from 1 species